rnacentral:rRNA from 1 species
CGUGUAGGCGGCUGGGUAUGUCCGGUGUGAAAUCCCUCAGCUCAACUGAGGAACUGCAUCGGAAACUACCCGGCUGGAGUGCGAGAGAGGGUGGCGGAAUUCCUGGUGUAGAGGUGAAAUUCGUAGAUACCAGGAGGAACACCUGAGGCGAAGGCGGCCACCUGGCUCGCUACUGACGCUGAGACGCGAAAGCGUGGGGAGCAAAUA